CACAGUGGGGGAGAACCCUGACGCAGCCAUGCCGCGUGAAUGAAGAAGGCUUUCGGGUUGUAUAGUUCUUUCGGUAAUGAGGAAGGGAUGUUGUUAAAUAGAUAGCAUCAUUGACGUUAAUUACAGAAGAAGCACCGGCUAACUCCGUGCCAGCAGCCGCGGUAAUACGGAGGGUGCGAGCGUUAAUCGGAAUAACUGGGCGUAAAGGGCACGCAGGCGGACUUUUAAGUGAGAUGUGAAAUCCCCGAGCUUAACUUGGGAACUGCAUUUCAGACUGGGAGUCUAGAGUACUUUAGGGAGGGGUAGAAUUCCACGUGUAGCGGUGAAAUGCGUAGAGAUGUGGAGGAAUACCGAAGGCGAAGGCAGCCCCUUGGGAAUGUACUGACGCUCAUGUGCGAAAGCGUGGGGAGCAAACAGGAUUAGAUACCCUGGUAGUCCACGCUGUAAACGCUGUCGAUUUGGGGAUUGGGCUAUAUGCUUGGUGCCCGAAGCUAACGUGAUAAAUCGACCGCCUGGGGAGUACGGCCGCAAGGUUAAAACUCAAAUGAAUUGACGGGGGCCCGCACAAGCGGUGGAGCAUGUGGUUUAAUUCGAUGCAACGCGAAGAACCUUACCUACUCUUGACAUCCUAAGAAGAGCUCAGAGAUGAGCUUGUGCCUUCGGGAACUUAGAGACAGGUGCUGCAUGGCUGUCGUCAGCUCGUGUUGUGAAAUGUUGGGUUAAGUCCCGCAACGAGCGCAACCCUUAUCCUUUGUUGCCAGCGAUUCGGUCGGGAACUCAAAGGAGACUGCCAGUGACAA
rnacentral:rRNA from 1 species